rnacentral:rRNA from 1 species
GACGAACGCUGGCGGCGUGCUUAACACAUGCAAGUCGAACGGAAAGGCCCUGCUUUUGUGGGGUGCUCGAGUGGCGAACGGGUGAGUAACACGUGAGUAACCUGCCCUUGACUUUGGGAUAACUUCAGGAAACUGGGGCUAAUACCGGAUAGGAGCUCCUGCUGCAUGGUGGGGGUUGGAAAGUUUCGGCGGUUGGGGAUGGACUCGCGGCUUAUCAGCUUGUUGGUGGGGUAGUGGCUUACCAAGGCUUUGACGGGUAGCCGGCCUGAGAGGGUGACCGGCCCCAUGGGGACUGGGAUACGGCCCAGACCCCCACGGGGGGCAGCAGGGGGGAAUUUUGCAAAAGGGGGGGAAGCCGGAGGCAGCAACGCCGCGGGGGGGAUGAGGGCCUUUGGGUUGAAAACCGCUUUCGCCUGUGACGAAGCGUGAGUGACGGUAAUGGGAAAAGAAGCACCGGCUAACUACGU